AUUCCUACGGGAGGCAGCAGUAAGGAAUAUUGGUCAAUGGGCGCAAGCCUGAACCAGCCAUGCCGCGUGCAGGAAGACGGCCCUAUGGGUUGUAAACUUCUUUUGUAAGGGAAUAAAGUGCAGUACGCGUACUGUUUUGCAUGUACCUUACGAAUAAGGAUCGGCUAACUCCGUGCCAGCAGCCGCGGUAAUACGGAGGAUCCGAGCGUUAUCCGGAUUUAUUGGGUUUAAAGGGUGCGCAGGCGGGAGAUUAAGUCGGCGGUGAAAUUUUGCAGCUCAACUGUAAAAGUGCCUUCGAAACUGGUUUCCUUGAGUGUGGAUGAAGUAGGCGGAAUUUGUGGUGUAGCGGUGAAAUGCAUAGAUAUCACGAGGAACUCCGAUUGCGCAGGCAGCUUACUAAACCAUAACUGACGCUCAUGCACGAAAGCGUGGGGAUCAAACAGGAUUAGAUACCCUGGUAGUCCACGCUGUAAACGAUGAUUACUCGAUGUUGGCGAUACACAGUCAGCGUCUGAGCGAAAGCAAUAAGUAAUCCACCUGGGGAGUACGAUCGCAAGAUUGAAACUCAAAUGAAUUGACGGAAU
rnacentral:rRNA from 1 species